rnacentral:rRNA from 1 species
GACGAACGCUGGCGGCGUGCUUAACACAUGCAAGUCGAGCGGUAAGGCCCUUUCGGGGGUACACGAGCGGCGAACGGGUGAGUAACACGUGGGUAAUCUGCCCUCGGUUCUGGGAUAGCCCGGGGAAACCCGGAUUAAUACCGGAUGGCCUCUCGAGCUUUUCGGGGCACGAGAGAAAAGGUAGCUUCGGCCUCCGACCGAGGAUGAGCCCGCGGCCGAUUAGCUUGUUGGCGGGGUAACGGCCCACCAAGGCGACGAUCGGAGCUGGUCUGAGAGGACGAUCAGCCACACUGGGACUGAGACACGGCCCAGACUCCUACGGGAGGCAGCAGUGGGGAAUCUUGCGCAAUGGGCGAAAGCCUGACGCAGCGACGCCGCGUGC